AUGUUGUAUUUAAGAGGUUUUCCCACUCACUCUAUGCCAAUUCAUUGUUUUUCAUGCCUGUGUUUCUCCAAUGGUUCUUGUGCUUCUGUGGAUCAUUAUUCUUUUGUUGGACCCUGGAUUUACUUUGGAUUUAUGUAGUUUCUCUGUUUGGACACAACCUUUUCUGUUGGACUAGUUUGAACUCAAGCACUUCCAUUACACUGACAUAUGACUGACACGACAGUCUCACGCACGCACGCACACAGAAGGUUUCUCGGUGAGAUGUGCUGCUCUGGUGGAAACAGCACGAGACGCUGCUACCGCAACUGUCAAGACUGGCUCGCUCUGUGUUUAGUGUCCCCGUCAGCAGCAGCAGCAGCAGCAGCGAACGUGUCUUAAGCCCAGCGGGAAGACUGACAGAAGAGAGAAGGACGGGCUGAAAACCUUCCACUGUGGAUGCUUUUUCUCCACGAUGCUCUGCAAGAGACUGUUCUAACUUUUCAUUUGAUUGGACUUUAUUUUCGUUUAACUGUUGGAAACUACUGGAAAAAAGAAUGGCCAUGUUCUUUGGUACAUUAUAAGUUUUUAAUUUAUUUUAUUUAAUUUGUUUAGGCUAUUGCUCAUUUCGUUUGGGCUGUUGGGAGCAGCCUGCCUGCCUCACUGUAGUAUUUCAAAAAUGUUGUUUUACUCACUGUGGUUUAAUAAACAAACAUUUAUUAAACUAACUGUCUGUGUGAACAGACUUGAAGUGUUUUGUAGCUAAGUAAAGUAUUAGCGUUGAUUUGAGAGGCUAAAUUGAUCAAACAUGUUUUACUCGCUGUCGGCUCGGCUG